rnacentral:rRNA from 1 species
GGAGUGCUUGCACUCUGUGAAACAAGAUACAGGCUAGCGGCGGACGGGUGAGUAACACGUGGGUAACCUGCCCAAGAGAUCGGGAUAACACCUGGAAACAGAUGCUAAUACCGGAUAACAACAGAUGAUGCCUAUCAACUGUUUAAAAGAUGGUUCUGCUAUCACUCUUGGAUGGACCUGCGGUGCAUUAGCUAGUUGGUAGGGUAACGGCCUACCAAGGCGAUGAUGCAUAGCCGAGUUGAGAGACUGAUCGGCCACAUUGGGACUGAGACACGGCCCAAACUCCUACGGGAGGCAGCAGUAGGGAAUCUUCCACAAUGGACGCAAGUCUGAUGGAGCAACGCCGCGUGAGUGAAGAAGGGUUUCGGCUCGUAAAGCUCUGUUGUUGGUGAAGAAGGACAGGGGUAGUAACUGACCUUUGUUUGACGGUAAUCAAUUAGAAAGUCACGGCUAACUACGCGCCAGCAGCCGCGGUAAUACGUAGGUGGCAAGCGUUGUCCGGAUUUAUUGGGCGUAAAGCGAGUGCAGGCGGUUCGAUAAGUCUGAUGUGAAAGCCUUCGGCUCAACCGGAGAAUUGCAUCAGAAACUGUCGAGCUUGAGUACAGAAGAGGAGAGUGGAACUCCAUGUGUAGCGGUGAAAUGCGUAGAUAUAUGGAAGAACACCGGUGGCGAAGGCGGCUCUCUGGUCUGUUACUGACGCUGAGGCUCGAAAGCAUGGGUAGCGAACAGGAUUAGAUACCCUGGUAGUCCAUGCCGUAAACGAUGAGUG